rnacentral:rRNA from 1 species
CGACCCAACUCCAUCACGCCCACCCUCGCCACCGGUGCCUAUCCCAUCAGAACUCCGAAGUUAAGCGUGGUUGGGCGAGAGUAGUACUAGGAUGGGUGACCUCCUGGGAAGUCCUCGUGUUGCAUCCC